rnacentral:rRNA from 1 species
GCAUAUCAAUAAGCGGAGGAAAAGAAACCAACAGGGAUUGCCUUAGUAGCGGCGAGUGAAGCGGCAAAAGCUCAAAUUUGAAAUCUGGCUCUUUCAGAGUCCGAGUUGUAAUUUGAAGAAGGUAUCUUUGGGUCUGGCUCUUGUCUAUGUUUCUUGGAACAGAACGUCACAGAGGGUGAGAAUCCCGUGCGAUGAGAUGAUCCAGGCCUAUGUAAAGUUCCUUCGAAGAGUCGAGUUGUUUGGGAAUGCAGCUCUAAGUGGGUGGUAAAUUCCAUCUAAAGCUAAAUAUUGGCGAGAGACCGAUAGCGAACAAGUACAGUGAUGGAAAGAUGAAAAGAACUUUGAAAAGAGAGUGAAAAAGUACGUGAAAUUGUUGAAAGGGAAGGGCUUGAGAUCAGACUUGGUAUUUUGUAUGUUACUUCUUCGGGGGUGGCCUCUACAGUUUAUCGGGCCAGCAUCAGUUUGGGCGGUAGGAGAAUUGCGUUGGAAUGUGGCACGGCNUNGGUUGUGUGUUAUAGCCUUCGUCGAUACUGCCAGCCUAGACUGAGGACUGCGGUUUAUACCUAGGAUGUUGGCAUAAUGAUCUUAAGUCGCCCGUCUUGAAACACGGACC